GACGAACGCUCGCGGCGUGCUUAACACAUGCGAGUCGAACGGAAAGGCCCCUUUGGGGGUACUCGAGUGGCGAACGGGUGAGUAACACGUGAGUAACCUGCCCUUGACUUCGGGAUAACUUCAGGAAACUGGGGCUAAUACCGGAUAGGAAUCCUUGCUGCAUGGUGGGGGUUGGAAAGCUUCGGCGGUUUUGGAUGGACUCGCGGCUUAUCAGCUUGUUGGUGGGGUAGUGGCUUACCAAGGCUUUGACGGGUAGCCGGCCUGAGAGGGCGACCGGCCACAUUGGGACUGAGAUACGGCCCAGACUCCUACGGGAGGCAGCAGUGGGGAAUAUUGCACAAUGGGCGGAAGCCUGAUGCAGCAACGCCGCGUGCGGGAUGACGGCCUUCGGGUUGUAAACCGCUUUCAGCAGGGGCGAAGCUUGUGGUGACGGUACCUGCAGAAGAAGCACCGGCUAACUACGUG
rnacentral:rRNA from 1 species